rnacentral:rRNA from 1 species
CAGCAGCCGCGGUAAUACGUAGGGGGCGAGCGUUAUCCGGAUUUACUGGGCGUAAAGAGCUCGUAGGCGGGGCCUCAAGUCAAAUGUGAAAGCUCCUGGCUUAACUGGGAGAGGUCGUUUGAUACUGGGGUCCUUGAGGGCAGGAGAGGGAGGUGGAAUUCCCGGUGGAGCGGUGGAAUGCGUAGAGAUCGGGAGGAACACCAGUGGCGAAGGCGGCCUCCUGGCCUGUGCCUGACGCUGAGGAGCGAAAGCUAGGGGAGCAAACGGGAUUAGAGACCCCGGUAGUCCUAGCCGUAAACGAUGGAUACUAGGUGUUGGGGGUAUUGACCCCCCCAGUGUCGCAGCUAACGCGUUAAGUAUCCCGCCUGGGGACUACGGCCGCAAGGCUAAAACUCAAAGGAAUUGACGGGGCCCCGCACAAGCAGCGGAGCGUGUGGUUCAAUUCGAUGCUACGCGAAGAACCUUACCUGGGUUUGACAUGUCCGUGGUAGAAAGGCGAAAGCUGGACGACCCUUCGGGGAGCGGACACAGGUGCUGCAUGGCUGUCGUCAGCUCGUGCCGUGAGGUGUUAGGUUAAGUCCUGUAACGAGCGCAACCCCUGUUGCAUGUUAUACGUGUCAUGCGAGACUGCCAAGGUAAAACUGGAGGAAGGUGGGGAUGACGUCAAGUCAGCAUGGCCUUUAUGUCCAGGGCGACACACACGCUACAAUGGCCGGUACAAUAGGUUGCCACACCGUGAGGUGGAGCUAAUCCUCAAAACCGGCCUCAGUUCGGAUUGGAGUCUGCAACUCGACUCCAUGAAGCUGGAGUUGCUAGUAACCGCGCGUCAGCCACAGUGCGGUGAAUACGUUCCCGGGGUUUGUACACACCGCCCGU